CGGUAUUUUGACCGUGCUAAGGUAGCAUAAUCAAUUGUUUUUUAAUUGAAAACUAGCAUGAACGGUUUAAUUAAUUUAAUUAGUUUGUAAAUUUUAAUAGUAAAUUAAAUAUAAAGUAAUAAUUCUUUAAUACAUUAGGGGACGAUAAGACCCUAAAAGCUUUAUGAAAAGUAUUUAAUUGGUGUUAGUGGUAAUGUUAAUUCACUGGGGCAGUGAAUUUAUUUGUAUUAAAAAAAAAUUAAGGGGUCCUUUAAAUAAAGAUUUUAUGUGUAAGUUACUUUAGGGAUAACAGUGCAAUAUAUU
rnacentral:rRNA from 1 species